rnacentral:rRNA from 1 species
AUGGCGCGCGCGUUCGGCGUCGGCGCUGCGGUGCUCGUCGUCGUGUCGGCCUUCUUCGCGCCGGCACUAGUGACGGCGCAGACCGGCAGCUGCGACGACCCGCUGCCGACCGAGCUCUACGCGCAGGGCGGGGACAACGUGCUGCGGGUGGUGCUCUCGGCGAUGUACAGCUCCGGGUGGGUGGGGAUGGCCUUCUCCAAGGACGGCCUCAUGGUGGGCUCGAGCGCCAUGGUCGGGUGGGUCGGCAAGAAGGGGCAAGCCCACGUCAAGCAGUUUGCCCUCAACGGCAAGGCGCCCUCCAUGGUCGUCGCCGACAGGGGCUUCCUCGUCUCCAACGGCCACGCCCACACCGUCCUCGUCAAGCAGGCCAAGAUCUACCUCGCCUUCCAGCUCAACUUCGACUCGCAGCUCAAGAAGCAGCAGGUGCCCUUCGCCUUCGGCUCUGCCAUCCCUGUCAACGACCGCCUAGCCGAGCACCAGGGCAAGACGUCCAUCACCUUUGAUUUCACCACAGGCAGCUCUUCAGGCUCCUCCUUCCCGAGUGGCCUAAAAAGGACUCAUGGGGCACUCAACCUGUUCGCUUGGGGUGUCCUCCUGCCUAUCGGUGCCAUUAUCGCUCGGUACUGCAGGGGUUGGGACCCUCUGUGGUUCUACCUUCAUGGCGGCAUUCAGUUCGUCGGCUUCAUCCUCGGUCUGGCCGGCGUUGUGGCUGGAGUAUCACUCUACGGCAAGAUCCAAGCAGAUGUUCCAGCACAUAGAGGCCUUGGCAUAUUUGUGCUUGUGCUUGGUAUCCUCCAGAUUCUUGCAUUCUUCCUACGGCCCAACAAAGACUCGAAGUACCGGAAAUACUGGAACUGGUAUCACCAUUGGGUAGGCAGGCUUGUGCUCUUCUUUGCAGCAGUCAACAUUGUCUUGGGAAUCAAAGUUGGAGGCGCUGGUAACCCCUGGAAGAUCGGCUAUGGGUUUAGCCUGGCCAUCCUUCUGAUCACCAUUAUCACCCUGGAAGUCCUGGUGUGGACAAGGAGGAAAAACAACAGCGGUGCUACGACGACAUACUAA